GAGCAUGCGCAGCUAUAAUGCAGUCGACGAGUUCUGAUUAUUGAAAGGUGCUUGCAUCUUGAUUUAAUUUUGAACGAGUGGCGGACGGGUGAGUAACACGUGGGUAACCUGCCCUUAAGUGGGGGAUAACAUUUGGAAACAGAUGCUAAUACCGCAUAAAUCCAAGAACCGCAUGGUUCUUGGCUGAAAGAUGGCGUAAGCUAUCGCUUUUGGAUGGACCCGCGGCGUAUUAGCUAGUUGGUGAGGUAACGGCUCACCAAGGCAAUGAUACGUAGCCGAACUGAGAGGUUGAUCGGCCACAUUGGGACUGAGACACGGCCCAAACUCCUACGGGAGGCAGCAGUAGGGAAUCUUCCACAAUGGACGCAAGUCUGAUGGAGCAACGCCGCGUGAGUGAAGAAGGCUUUCGGGUCGUAAAACUCUGUUGUUGGAGAAGAAUGGUCGGCAGAGUAACUGUUGUCGGCGUGACGGUAUCCAACCAGAAAGCCACGGCUAACUACGUGCCAGCAGCCGCGGUAAUACGUAGGUGGCAAGCGUUAUCCGGAUUUAUUGGGCGUAAAGCGAGCGCAGGCGGUUUUUUAAGUCUGAUGUGAAAGCCCUCGGCUUAACCGAGGAAGUGCAUCGGAAACUGGGAAACUUGAGUGCAGAAGAGGACAGUGGAACUCCAUGUGUAGCGGUGAAAUGCGUAGAUAUAUGGAAGAACACCAGUGGCGAAGGCGGCUGUCUGGUCUGUAACUGACGCUGAGGCUCGAAAGCAUGGGUAGCGAACAGGAUUAGAUACCCUGGUAGUCCAUGCCGUAAACGAUGAAUGCUAGGUGUUGGAGGGUUUCCGCCCUUCAGUGCCGCAGCUAACGCAUUAAGCAUUCCGCCUGGGGAGUACGACCGCAAGGUUGAAACUCAAAGGAAUUGACGGGGCCCGCACAAGCGGUGGAGCAUGUGUUUAAUUCGAAGCACGCGAGACCUUACCAGUCUUGACAUCUUUUGAUCACCUGAGAGAUCA
rnacentral:rRNA from 2 species